CAGCCGCCACGGGAAAACGGAGGGAGCUAGCGUUGUUCGGAAUUACUGGGCGUAAAGCGCACGUAGGCGGCUAUUCAAGUCAGGGGUGAAAGCCCGGGGCUCAACCCCGGAACUGCCUUUGAAACUAGAUAGCUUGAAUCUUGGAGAGGCGAGUGGAAUUCCGAGUGUAGAGGUGAAAUUCGUAGAUAUUCGGAAGAACACCAGUGGCGAAGGCGACUCGCUGGACAAGUAUUGACGCUGAGGUGCGAAAGCGUGGGGAGCAAACAGGAAUAGAUACCCGAGUAGUCCCUGUCUCUUAUAA
rnacentral:rRNA from 1 species